rnacentral:rRNA from 2 species
GGCGGACGGGUGAGUAAUGCUUAGGAAUCUGCCUAUUAGUGGGGGACAACAUUCCGAAAGGAAUGCUAAUACCGCAUACGCCCUACGGGGGAAAGCAGGGGAUCUUCGGACCUUGCGCUAAUAGAUGAGCCUAAGUCAGAUUAGCUAGUUGGUGGGGUAAAGGCCUACCAAGGCGACGAUCUGUAGCGGGUCUGAGAGGAUGAUCCGCCACACUGGGACUGAGACACGGCCCAGACUCCUACGGGAGGCAGCAGUGGGGAAUAUUGGACAAUGGGCGAAAGCCUGAUCCAGCCAUGCCGCGUGUGUGAAGAAGGCCUUUUGGUUGUAAAGCACUUUAAGCGAGGAGGAGGCUACUUGGAUUAAUACUCUAGGAUAGUGGACGUUACUCGCAGAAUAAGCACCGGCUAACUCUGUGCCAGCAGCCGCGGUAAUACAGAGGGUGCGAGCGUUAAUCGGAUUUACUGGGCGUAAAGCGUGCGUAGGCGGCUUUUUAAGUCGGAUGUGAAAUCCCUGAGCUUAACUUAGGAAUUGCAUUCGAUACUGGGAAGCUAGAGUAUGGG